UCUCAAGUGAUCAGCUGUGUCGGUCGUGUGUGCGCGUUUUGUGCCUGCAGCCUCACUGUGUUCUCGCCGCUGGAUGUGAUAUGCGUGGUUUGACGACAGUGCGACAUGCUGCGCUGCGAGUGCGAUAAUCGCGACGGCCUGUCGACUCAAGCGAGCGUGCCGCUGUGCAUUACCAAGCAGAUGAUGGGCACGCUGCGUGCUCGGCACAGUCAGGAACAAAAAUGCAUCUACCUUGGAUGCAGUCAACAACCCUGGACAUCUUUCUCCCGCCAUGCAACUGUGAGAACCCACCGAAGCACAGAUUGUCAUGAAGUGAAAAGACUUUUCGGCAACAAUUUUGCAUUGCGCACUCUGCCAGUCUCCUGAAAUAGCAUAUUAAGGUACAUAAGCACUGUACCUUCAUACAUAUGCAUCAAGGAACAGUGAAAUAGCAUAUCAAGGUACAUUAACAUCAUUAGCUUGGAUUCAUUUAACUAGAACGAAUAAAUCAUGUUAAAGCUAUACAAUGACGGCCAUAUCAUGUGACAGACAUCUGCUAAGUGCAGUGUGUAUUGUGAAGCACAUGAGUUUUAUGGUAUUGAAUGAAUGGAUAAAUGUUUAUUCCAGCAAAAUACAGGAAAUGGGCCUCAAGUGAAAAGCGACAAUGGUAGCUUGAGAAGUGUACAAGGCCCAGUAGAGCAAAAAGAGAGACAGAGCAGCGGAAACGUGUGCACGUUCAAAGGCAAAACAUAUACGCAUACAAAAAGAAACAGGAAAGACAAAGCAGAAGAAACGUGCACAUUCAAAGGCAAAACACCUACGCCAUCUGUUGCUUAUGUACCUUAAUAUGCUAUUUCAGGAGACGGGCAGAGUGCGCAAGACCUUGCUAACACGAAGUGACAAAAUCAAAAAGGGUGAACAUUUACGCUAGUGAAAACAAUGAAAAUCAGAAAACAGUGAAAACAGAAAAGAAGAAACGGCCAUUCAACGGCAUGGAAGGAAUGCAACUUCAUUGGUCACGUAUCAACAGUGGAAUUUACAUGUGCAUAUUCUUAGCCAUUAGGAGAUGUGCAAGGCUAAUUUAAUCGCAUUGAUAUAAGUCAGCUGUUGAGUCUGUUGAACCAGAUUGUUGAAUCAUCUUGUUUAUUCCCUCUCGUUAAUUUGCUGUUUUGCAUUAUGUUGCCAUAGUUUUCAAGGUCAGUACAUAGUAUCAUGACUGUUGACACAAUUUGACAAGGUGAAAGCGCUGUUAUUGUGCCCAGGCCUUAGUUUAUCCUCACUAGAAGUGCGCUGUUUAUUUUUGCCAUGGUUCAGUGCCAAGUUGCCCAAUCUUCACUCCUAAGCAGAGUAGGUGCGGUUAAUCAAGACCUUGCUAAUAUUCACAACCCUUUUAAAGUGUACUUAUAAUGAUAACUUUACUGACAUCAAAAACUACCCACAUAAUGGUAAACAUGGCGAGAGUACACUUCUGGUGGUGUUUCACAUUUUUUUUACAUCCGUUUGUUUUUCGCCCUGUGCACACGAAGUGAAACGCUCACAAGGAAAUACUUAGCAGCAUCUCAAUGAUGUAUUUAUUUCGUGUUUUGACAAAAUGUCUGCGAUAAGGAUAGUCAAGUGCGAAUCUUUGGUAAGACAUUCAUUUUUAUGUGUACAGAAAUCUUAGUGGACUUCUUUUUUUGUAAUUUUCAGGAAUACACUUCUGGCAAAGCAGCAAGUGUUGCUUGCCCACCAGUCUGUGUUCAAGACAAGUGUAUUGUGGGCAUGAGUGUCGGCAGGAUUUUGUCUUGGGGGUGCAAGGCGGCGUAACGUGUCGGCCUGAUGAGCAGGAGAGCAUUGGUGUAGCUUGCGUGGGUUCAAGUGCUGGUGUGUCUUGAUGGCGGCAGGUGCCCUUUGUGCAAACCCCUGCCGACACCCAUGAUUGUGGGAACACCCUGAUGUGCCUAACUUUACACUAUGUCGAACAGCUCGUACAUCUUACCACAUUUAGGCCAACACUGGUAUUGAUGCAGAGUGUUAUGCGCAAUGCUGCGUGAAACGUUUCUGAUAUCUUGUGCAUUUGAAAAUUUCGCAUUGUUUAAAAAGACGCUGAGUGGACCCAGUGUUAUUCAGCAAACAUAAGUCUUAACAGGGGCAGUUGGGUGAGUUGGUGUAUAUUCAUAGUUAAAGAGGGUGCAAAAAAAAUAACAGCACAGAGAAAUCAAGGGGACAGGAUGACGCGCUACUAGCAACUGAAGUUUAAUCGAAACCACAGAAAGAUGUAAACACACAGUACGAAAAAAUUACAAGACUAAACAAUCAGACAUCCACAGAGGAAUGAAGGGGGCAGACAGGACAAUGCGCUACUAGUAACUGAAGUGUAAUCAAAACCACAGAAAGAUAUAAACACACAUGACUAAAAAAGCCAAGCACAUGUUCAACUUCAGUUGUUAGUAGUGCGUCGUUCCGUCCCCUUUGUUGCUAUGUGUUCUGAUUUCGUUUUCACGUUUUCCUUACCUAUGAACUGAACUCCUGACUGUUUCACAGUCUCUAUAUAUGUGAGGUCAAUAUUUAUUCAUCCUCAUGGCAUAUCAAGUCCUAGGAUCCAAUGUGCAAAGCGACCAGUCACUAUUUACAGGAAUUUUUUUAUUUAGUGCCUGUGAUUGCCUAAUUGCAAGUUGACGUCGCAGCCAUGGUGCUUGGAUUAUUUUCAAUGUGGUAAUUAUGUGUAAGCCAUCAAGUGAGGAAUUAAGGAUGAACUUCUGAGUUACAGGUGUUACAGAUGGCACUAGCUGGCAUAAAAACAUUGAAGCAUGGCUGUACUUGUUAUGCAUAUUAGAAGUAUUGGUACAUUGCAGUCAUGUGAUUAUGCCGACAAGUUCCCAAGCACACUUCCAGAAAUUUACGAUGGCUUCCAGGUAUCUGUGAGUAAAUAUGUACAGCAACAUAUAAAGGCAACCUUGUAAUUUUGUGGGCAUUGCUGAAUGCUUUUAUGCACCUUGGUAUGUGGACCUACAGUCAACACCACAGGUCUAUUUUGGGCUUUUUUGUAGGAAACUCAACUCCAAAAUCAUGUGCGACAUGUUUUGAUGUCAUAGGGCAAACUAAUGCAAUAAAAACUGUACAACUGCCUGUCUACACGGUUUCAUAUUUCCCAAAAGUGAUGCUAGCCUUAUUGUACUAAUUUAAUUAGUUGCCUUCGUGUGUAGGCUGACACCAAGUUCCUUGGGUAGCUUAUUUUUUUGGAUUGUACUUACAUACUGGCACGGUGAAGUGCACACGUUAGUGCGCAUCAUGAUGAGAUUUUACACCCUACUUUCGUAUUGCUUUACUGCUGUGAAUUAUGUAUAGUGCUUAGGCUGUACUGUAUAUGUUGUUCCACGUAUUCAGUUUUGGGAGUAGGUUCUGUGCAUGACGAUGGAAAUAUAUACCUAUAUCCUUACAUUGACACGAGAACUGCUGCUGUUUUGAUUCCAAUAAAAUGUUGCAACAA